CACGCCGUAAACGAUGUGUGCUUGUCGCUGGGAGGUUUACCUUUCGGUGACGGAGCUAACGCGUUAAGCACACCGCCUGGGAAGUACGGUCGCAAGAUUAAAACUCAAAGGAAUUGACGGGGACCCGCACAAGCGGUGGAGUAUGUGGUUUAAUUCGUCGCAACGCGAAGAACCUUACCAGGCCUUGACAUGCCCUCUAUGAUUUCCAGAGAUGGAUUUCUUCACUUCGGGUGGGAGGGACACAGGUGC
rnacentral:rRNA from 1 species